CCGUGCUAGAUGGGGAGGUAGCGGUGCCCUAUAACCUGCAACCCGCUAUAGCAGGAUUGAAUUCCCGGUCUGAGGAUUAUCCUUGUGGGGUCUGCCUCCGAAAAGUGGUGUUGAAGAUUGGGUCCUACGCAACGAAAAUUUGUGAACUCCGUCAGGUCCGGAAGGAAGCAGCGGUAAGCAAAACCUUUCGUGUGCCGUAGGGGAACCUAAUUGGAGCUAACUGGCGGAGUAACGUCCGGAAGGCACAUUCAAGGACGGGUGCACGG
rnacentral:SRP_RNA from 1 species